UACGUAGGGGGCAAGCGUUGUCCGGAAUUAUUGGGCGUAAAGAGCGCGUAGGCGGUCCGGUAAGUCGGUUGUGAAAGUCGGGGGCUCAACCCUCGGAUGCCGAUCGAUACUGCCGGGCUAGAGUCCGGAAGAGGCGAGUGGAAUUCCUGGUGUAGCGGUGAAAUGCGCAGAUAUCAGGAGGAACACCAAUGGCGAAGGCAGCUCGCUGGGACGGUACUGACGCUGAGGCGCGAAAGCGUGGGGAGCAAACAGG
rnacentral:ncRNA from 2 species